AUGCUCUAUAUAAACCUCUGAAAUUCUUUUAACAAUACUGAAUUUUAUUUCUGCUUUUGAUAUUGAAGCAAAAUAUUUGAAAUGGCUAAGUUUUCCUUCAUGUCAAUUAUCGCUGUUGCCUUCAUUUUUUUAGUUAUAGCAGAGACAAGUGAUGCAGAAGAAUGUCUUGCAUUUCGUGAAGGUGAAUGCGUUCUUGCAUCAUGUGUAGAAUGGUGUUCUCAAGCAUUUAAAGGUCAUGGAACAUGUGUUGGUGAAGAUCCCUCAACUUAUGAAUGUGAUUGCGUAUAUAAUUGUUCUACCUAGAACCAAAAUAUCAUAAUUAUUUUUAUUUUAAAUGUAGAACUGUAUUGAAAUAAAGUGAAUAAAUUCGAGAGAAUUACAGUUAUAAAAUUUUAUUUAAGUGUUUCUUA